rnacentral:rRNA from 1 species
GACGUAGGGCGCGAGCGUUGUCCGGAUUUAUUGGGCGUAAAGAGCUCGUAGGCGGCUUGUUGCGUCGACCGUGAAAACCCGGGGCUCAACUUCGGGCUUGCGGUCGAUACGGGCGGGCUAGAGUUCGGUAGAGGAGACUGGAAUUUACGGUGUAGCGGUGAAAUGCGUAGAUAUCGUAAGGAAGACCAGUGGCGAAGGCGGGUCUCUGGACAGUUCCUGACGCUGAGGCACGAAGGUCAGGGGAGCAAACGGG